GCUCGGUGCUCCACACGCGGGGGUGGGCCACGAGCAGGGCGGACGGCAAGCCGGAGGACAGCGAAGCUCUCCGCUGUCCGCUCGUCCGGCGCCGCAGAAAUGGAGCGUCCCUUUAUUGCUGUCACCGGCGGCGCAGGGGGAGUGGGCAAGAAGAAAGCUAGCUAGCUGGUAGCUGCCGUCGCCGAUUGGAGAAGAAAGGAAGAAGAAGAGCUGCUGGUGGAGGAGAUAGAUGGUGGCUGGUAGUGCUCGAUGGAGAGAAGCAGCGAGGCUUCCGUGGUAGCGUGCUGGAUUGGAGAGGGGAGACGGAUGGUCGGAUACACGGAUGGACCUUGAGCGGCGGCUGUUGCGUGGAUUCCACGACUAACAGGCGGGCCCCACAAUAACAGUGGCUAACGGAGCUGUUAUCUCGUCGUGCAAAUUAUAAGUGCAUCAUCAUCUGUCACUGUCAGGCCGCGCUGGCUGAGCAGAGGAAAUACCAAAUCGCCAAGGCCGACCA